rnacentral:misc_RNA from 1 species
GACGAGGGGAACUGAGAUUCCAAACCAUAGAAAGACAAGAGCAAACAUUGUUCCAAAGGGCACAGCUCCGGAUGAUUUCUGUCCCCAAAUCAGAGCAUUUAGAACGAAAAAUAGGGCGAAUAUGGUGGCAGGGAACAUGACUGCAGUGUUCAAGGCAAUCUUCUUCCACUCUGUACCCUUGAACAUUUUGUACAGACGUGCCGAGGCAAAACCAGCAAAAAGACCCAUGAAGACCCAGAGCAAGAGCAUGGCCGUCAUUAGUCCUCCUCUGUUUGAAGGGGAGAGGAAACCAAGGAUGGCGAAC